rnacentral:rRNA from 1 species
AUACGGAGGGGGCAAACGUUGUUCGGAUUUACUGGGCGUAAAGGGUGUCUAGGCGGUUCGAUUAGUCUGGUGUGAAAUAUCCUCGCUCAACGAGGAAAACGCAUUGGAAACUGUCGAGCUCGAGAGUGGAAGAGGCAGGUGGAAUUUCUGGUGUAGCGGUGGAAUGCGUAGAUAUCAGAAAGAACACUCGUGGCGAAGGCGGCCUGCUGGUCCAUUUCUGACGCUGAAGCACGAAAGCUAGGGGAGCGAACGGGAUUAGAUACCCCGGUAGUCCUAGCCGUAAACGUUGAACACUGGAUGUCGGGGGUAUCGACCCCCUCGGUGUCGGAGCUAACGCGUUAAGUGUUCCGCCUGGGGAGUACGACCGCAAGGUUGAA